AAAUCAGCCCAAUAAGGCAGCAAGAAUGAGCUUAGUUGCAAAUUCUCUGCAUAGCCUCAUGUCACAUGACUGUCCAAUCGCUGCAUAUAGAAUCAUGAAUUCUCAAGCUUGACCAACAAGAACAUCCUUGUAAGGAGUUGGCGCGAUGGUAGUGGAUGUUGUUUCUUUCACUGGCGCCUUUUUCCUUCGACUUUGCUCUUCUACUAGCAGUGGCAUCUGUCCCUCCUCCCCCGAGGACUGUCUCCUUCGUCUUUGCUCUUCUAUUAGCAGUGGCAUUUGCCCCUCUCUUUCUUGUAUUAAUCGGUCCUGUGCUCCACCUCGUAGCUUUUCUAGCCUCAAUCCACUCAUUUGUUGCAUCUUGAACACUUUCACCACAUUCAUUAAUCCUCCAAUGAACAGCAAUAAACUCCCAAAUAACCCAAACAACAUCCAGUCUUCACUUAACAAUUUCAAGCCAUGGUGGGCAUAUCUUGACUGCUCUCUCCAAUUGAGGAGUGAUCCUACCAGAAAUAGUAAACUGCCCAAUAAGAAGGGAAUGUUGACACUUUCUUGCAAGAUUUGGACAUGCCCAUCCGCUCUUUCGUAAAUCUGACACGAGUUAUGGAUUGAACCAAG
rnacentral:misc_RNA from 1 species